rnacentral:lncRNA from 1 species
GGCCAUUGUUCAGUUUUAACCUCUGAAAUUGUUCUUUGGCAAUUAUACUUUUAAUUUUUAAACAUGCUAAACAAAUUUUUUUGUCUUUUAAGAGGCCUACAGUCACUGGCUCAAGUCUUGUGAUGUGCUGUUUAUAACUGGACAGGCCUGGAAGUGGCUUAGUGCCUUCCACUCCUAUUUUAAGUCAGAAGCAACAGUAAGCUGAGCUGCCUCAAAGACUGAGUUGCUUCUCCAAAAGGAUGCUCAACUUGCAGCUGAGGUUAUUAACAAGGAGUGGAGCCAAAAAUUGGAAAUGUUUGGACUUGAAG